UAUAUGUUGACAUUUAAGAAAGAGGAAACAAUAGUGAAUUAGUGGCUUGAAGAACAGGAACAGAAUAUAAGACGUAACAGCUCGUAAAGCUUGUUUAAUAUAGCAAAGAUUCAAAAGAUAAGUGUAAACCCAAGUUAUAAAUUUUGCAAGUAAACUAUGAAAAUGCUAGA
rfam:Helcococcus kunzii ATCC 51366 genomic scaffold supercont1.1, whole genome shotgun sequence.